AACGAGUUAUCUGAACCUUCGGGGAACGAUAACGGCGUCGAGCGGCGGACGGGUGAGUAAUGCCUAGGAAAUUGCCCUGAUGUGGGGGAUAACCAUUGGAAACGAUGGCUAAUACCGCAUGAUGCCUACGGGCCAAAAAGGGGGACCUUCGGGCCUCUCGCGUCAGGAUAUGCCUAGGUGGGAUUAGCUAGUUGGUGAGGUAAGGGCUCACCAAGGCAACCAUCCCUAACUGGUCUGAGAGGAUGAUCACCCACACUGGAACUGACACACGGUCCACACUCCUACGGGAGGCAUCAGUGGGGAAUAUUGCACAAUGGGCGCAAGCCUGAUGCACCCCUGCCGCGUGUAUAAAGAAGGCCUUCGGGUUGUAAAGCACUUUCAGUCGUGAGGAAGGCGGUUUCGUUAAUAGCGUUCUUUUUUGACGUUAGCCAAAAAAAGAAACACCGGCUUACUCCGUGCCAGCAGCCGCGAUAAUACGGGAGGGGGGCGAGCGUUCAUCGGAAUUACUGGGGCGUAAAAGUCCCAAGGCAGGUGUUUUUGUUACGUCAGAUGUGACCCCCCGGGGGCUCAACCCUCGGAAAUAGCAUUUGAAACUGGCAGACUAUAGUACUGUAGAGGGGGGUAUAAUUUCAGGUGUGAUAAAUUUUAAAUAAAAAAAAA
rnacentral:rRNA from 1 species